rnacentral:tRNA from 1 species
GCCUGAUUGGCUCAGUCGGUAGAGCAUACGAUUUUUGAUCUUGGGUCGUGAGUUUGGGCCCCGUGUUGGGCA